UACUUCGUGCUGUCCAGCUGGUGGGCC
rnacentral:piRNA from 3 species